CCUACGGGAGGCAGCAGUGAGGAAUAUUGGUCAAUGGGCGAGAGCCUGAACCAGCCAAGUAGCGUGCAGGACGACGGCCCUAUGGGUUGUAAACUGCUUUUGGAGGGGAAUAAAGUUGCGUACGUGUACGCAUUUGCAUGUACCCUCAGAAUAAGGACCGGCUAAUUCCGUGCCAGCAGCCGCGGUAAUA
rnacentral:rRNA from 1 species